GACGAACGCUGGCGGCGUGCUUAACACAUGCAAGUCGAACGGAAAGGCCCUGCUUUUGUGGGGUGCUCGAGUGGCGAACGGGUGAGUAACACGUGAGUAACCUGCCCUUGACUUUGGGAUAACUUCAGGUAACUGGGGCUAAUACCGGAUCGGAGCUCCUGCUGCAUGGUGGGGGUUGGAAAGUUUCGGCGUUUGGGGAUGGACUCGCGGCUUAUCAGCUUGUUGGUGGGGUGGUGGCUUACCAAGGCUUUGACGGGUAGCCGGCCUGAGAGGGUGACCGGCCACAUUGGGACUGAGAUAAGGCCCAGACUCCUACGGGAGGCAGCAGGGGGGAAUAUUGCACAAUGGGCGGAAGCCUGAUGCAGAAACGCCGCGUGCGGGAUGACGGCCUUCGGGUUGUAAAACGCUUUCGCCUGUGACGAAGCGUGAGUGACGGUAAUGGGUAAAGAAGCACCGGCUAACUACGUG
rnacentral:rRNA from 1 species